AAUUUUGGACAUUGGGGGAAACCCUGAUCCAGCCAUCCCUCGAGAAUGCUGAAGGCCUACGGGUUGUAAAGUACUUUUGUCAGAGAAGAAAGUGCACCCACUAAUACGGGAUGCUGCUGACGGUAUCUGCAGAAUAAGCACUGGCUAACUACGUGCCAUCAACCGCGGUAAUACGUAGGGUGCAAGCGUUAAUCGGAAUUACUGGGCGUAAAGCGUGUGUAGGCGGUUCGGAAAGAAAGAUGUGAAAUCCCAGGGCUCAACCUUGGAACUGCAUUUUUAACUGCCGAGCUAGAGUAUGUCAGAGGGGAGUAGAAUUCCACGUGUAGCAGUGAAAUGCGUAGAUAUGUGGAGGAAUACCGAUGGCGAAGGCAGCCCCCUGGGAUAAUACUGACGCUCAGACACGAAAGCGUGGGGAGCAAACAGG
rnacentral:rRNA from 1 species